AGUGAACGCUGGCGGUAGGCCUAACACAUGCAAGUCGAACGGCAGCACAGUAAGAGCUUGCUCUUACGGGUGGCGAGUGACGGACGGGUGAGGAGUACAUCGGAAUCUACUUUUUCUUGGGGGAUAACGUGGGGCAACUUACGCUAAUACCUCAUACGACCUACCGGUUGAAGCAGUGGAUCUUCGGACCUUUGGCGAUUGAAUUAGCCGAUGUCGGAUUAGCUAGUUGGCGGGGUAAAGGCCCACCAAGGCAACGAUGCGUAGCUGGGCUGAGAGGAUGAUCAGCCACACUGGAACUGAGACACGGUCCAGACUCCUACGGGAGGCAGCAGUGGGGAAUAUUGGACAAUGGGCGAAAGCCUGAUCCAGCCAUGCCGCGUGGGUGAAGAAGGCCUUCGGGUUGUAAAGCUCUUUUGUUGGGAAAGAACAACAGCAGGUUAAUCCACCGAUGUUCUGACGGUACCCAAAGAACAAGCACCGGCUAACUUCGUG
rnacentral:rRNA from 1 species